UAAUACGAAGGGGGCUAGCGUUGCUCGGAAUUACUGGGCGUAAAGGGAGCGUAGGCGGGUCGUCAAGUUGGGGGUGAAAGCCCAGGGCUCAACCCUGGAACUGCCUUCAAAACUGGCGACCUAGAGUAUGGUAGAGGUGUGUGGAACUCCGAGUGUAGAGGUGAAAUUCGUAGAUAUUCGGAAGAACACCAGUGGCGAAGGCGACACACUGGGCCAUUACUGACGCUGAGGCUCGAAAGCGUGGGGAGCAAACAGGAUUAGAUACCCUGGUAGUCCACGCUGUAAACGAUGAGUGCUAGUUGUCGGCAUGCAUGCAUGUCGGUGACGCAGCUAACGCAUUAAGCACUCCGCCUGGGGAGUACGGUCGCAAGAUUA
rnacentral:rRNA from 1 species